AAGAUGACGGCAUCUUGGUUUCAAGGAAUCACUCAUCAGAUUUCUUAUGCAUAUACUCCUCAACAAAAUGGAGUCGCCGAACGAAAAAAUCGACAUCUGGUGGAAACUACUCGUAUCUUAUUAAUACAUUAUCAUGUUCCUCUUUGUUUCUGGGGGAUGCCAUUCUAACAGCAUGUUAAUUGAUUAACAAAAUGCCUUCUUCUGUCUUGCAACACCAAAGUCCCCACUCAAUUCUAUUUCCAGAAGAAAUUCCUCAUCAUUUGUCAUUAUGUGUGUUUGGUUGCAUUUGUUUUGUUCAUGAUCACGCU
rnacentral:misc_RNA from 1 species